GAACGCUGGCGGCGUGCUUAACACAUGCAAGUCGAGCGGAAAGGCCCUUCGGGGUACUCGAGCGGCGAACGGGUGAGUAACACGUGAGCAACCUGCCCCUGACUCUGGGAUAAGCCCGGGAAACUGGGUCUAAUACCGGAUACGACCGCCCCCGGCAUCGGGUGGUGGUGGAAAGUUUUUCGGUUGGGGAUGGGCUCGCGGCCUAUCAGCUUGUUGGUGGGGUAGUGGCCUACCAAGGCGACGACGGGUAGCCGGCCUGAGAGGGCGACCGGCCACACUGGGACUGAGACACGGCCCAGACUCCUACGGGAGGCAGCAGUGGGGAAUAUUGCGCAAUGGGCGGAAGCCUGACGCAGCGACGCCGCGUGGGGGAUGACGGCCUUCGGGUUGUAAACCUCUUUCAGCAGGGACGAAGUUGACGUGUACCUGCAGAAGAAGCGCCGGCUAACUACGUGCCAGCAGCCGCGGUAAUACGUAGGGCGCAAGCGUUGUCCGGAAUUAUUGGGCGUAAAGAGCUCGUAGGUGGCUGG
rnacentral:rRNA from 1 species